rnacentral:rRNA from 1 species
UACAGAGGGUGCGAGCGUUAAUCGGAUUUACUGGGCGUAAAGGGCGCGUAGGCGGUGAGAUGUGAGUGGUGUGAAAGCCCCGGGCUUAACCUGGGAAGCGCAUCGCAGACUAUCUGACUGGAGUAGAUGAGAGGGUGGCGGAAUUUCCGGUGUAGCGGUGAAAUGCGUAGAGAUCGGAAGGAACGUCAAUGGCGAAGGCAGCCACCUGGCAUGAUACUGACGCUGAGGCGCGAAAGCGUGGGGAGCGAACAGG